GAUGAACGCUGGCGGCGUGCCUAAUACAUGCAAGUCGAGCGAACAGACGAGGAGCUUGCUCCUUUGACGUUAGCGGCGGACGGGUGAGUAACACGUGGAUAACCUACCUAUAAGACUGGGAUAACUUCGGGAAACCGGAGCUAAUACCGGAUAACAUGUUGAACCGCAUGGUUCAACAGUGAAAGACGGUCUUGCUGUCACUUAUAGAUGGAUCCGCGCCGCAUUAGCUAGUUGGUAAGGUGACGGCUUACCAAGGCAACGAUGCGUAGCCGACCUGAGAGGGUGAUCGGCCACACUGGAACUGAGACACGGUCCAGACUCCUACGGGAGGCAGCAGUAGGGAAUCUUCCGCAAUGGGCGAAAGCCUGACGGAGCAACGCCGCGUGAGUGAAGAAGGUCUUCGGAUCGUAAAACUCUGUUAUUAGGGAAGAACAAAUGUGUAAGUAACUAUGCACGUCUUGACGGUACCUAAUCAGAAAGCCACGGCUAACUACGUG
rnacentral:rRNA from 1 species